rnacentral:rRNA from 1 species
UGGGGAAUCUUGGACAAUGGGGGCAACCCUGAUCCAGCGACGCCGCGUGGGUGACGAAGGCCUUAGGGUUGUAAAGCCCUUUUCUCGGGGAAGAUGAUGACGGUACCCGAGGAAUAAGCACCGGCUAACUCCGUGCCAGCAGCCGCGGUAAUACAGAGGGUGCAAACGUUGCUCGGAAUGACUGGGCGUAAAGCGCGCGCAGGUGGCCCGUUGAGUUGGCUGUGAAAUCCCCUGGCUCAACCAGGGAAGUGCAGUCGAUACUGGCGGGCUCGAGUCCCGGAGAGGGUGGUAGAAUUCCCAGUGUAGAGGUGAAAUUCGUAGAUAUUGGGAGGAAUACCGGUGGCGAAGGCGACCGCCUGGACGGGUACUGACACUGAGGCGCGAAAGCGUGGGGAGCAAACAGGAUUAGAUACCCCCGUA